rnacentral:lncRNA from 1 species
AUUCACGAAAAACCUAGCUCCUGGUUUUUGGUGGUUUAAACCCCCUCCUGGUUUAAACCCCGAGCUGGGUUUUUCAUUUGCGUUUCACAAAAGAGGUUUAAACCCCGAGGGGGUUUAAAUGCGUCAUAAAACGUCAUGAAACGUCAUAUUUUUUAGUCUGCUCUUAGAUGUGGUUUAAACCAUGGUUUAAUUUUAUGAGCAUGCGCACUUGAGGAGUUUGUGAAAAAUCCGUGAAGCAAAGAAAAUUUUUCUUGCGGUCCUGGACCUGACAAGUGGUCUUCUUGAUUAGAAAUUCAAUUACAUCGGCAUCAGAGGUACCAUACAGUGUAGGUCUCUAUGGAUUAUCUCCAUCUUCUUCACAGCUUUAAAUUACUAAGAGCUACCUUUCCCAAGACAUUGUGGGCUACAUGAUGCUAAAAAUCCAUCGAAAUCGUACAAGGAUGGGCCAUCUCGAGAUCAGUAUCGACUGUCAAAAGAAACCGUCACCAAUAUGCUGGAAGCCGAAAUGAAGAGGGACACACAGCUCAGAGGAUAGAUCAACUUCCUGUUUAUUUGCAGGUGUUGACAACUCUCCAUUUUUAUGCAGUGGGAUCAUUUUAAAAGAUGCAUGGUGGUGAGGCAGCAAUAUAGCAGUCAUCAAUGUGUCAGAAGCUAAAGCAAGAAGGAAGAGGCAAUACAUGAAGAUUCCUACAAGAGAAGAAGUUGAAGCAACUCGGAGACAGUUCUAUCUAACUGUUAGAUUUCCAGGAGUGAAAGGUGCAAUUGAUGGGACACAUGUCUACAUCAAGAGCCGGGGGGGGGGGGGGGAUUGGGCCAUAUGCUUCUUAUAUACCCCUUCCAACUUCAUGUGGAGAGGAAUGCCUAUAACAAUGGCAAAAGCAUUAAGAACAUAGAAACACAGAGUUCAUUCAAAUUUAUGAAGAAUACUUUACUUCUUUAUUUGUUAAUAAAUUGAUUAUUAUAACCCUGUGAUUCCUGCAGCUUAGCUUCAGCAACCUCUCUUUCUUUAUUCAAAACGUCCAUUCGUAGUUUGUGCUCCUUCAAGCUCAUAUCGUGUCUUUCAAUCUCAUUUCAUGCUUUUCAAUCUCAUAUCAUGUUCUUUCACUCUCAUCUUGUACUCUUUAUAAAGUCGAGACCAUGUUUCUUCCAUUGAACUUCAAUUCUAAUGGCAUGCACUUCUACCAGCUCAAACUCUUCUGACAGAUGAUUCUUUUUUCCUUGAGAUGGGUAAUUCAAAUUCCAUUUUGCAGAACAAAGGUUUGUGGUAUUGCUGCAGGGUUAAAAUUCAAUAUUGAAAUGCAUUUAAGUACAUAACAUAUAGUAACAGUACAGUUGUAAAACACAUACUAUAAAUCAUGUUGUCAAAGAUGUAUGUUGUUUAACGUACUGGUAACUCUCUACUUGAUAGGUUCAGCUUCUGACACCAAUGUACAUUGUGUUUUCUGAUUGUUCUCGGAACCAUAAAUUGAAUUUUUGAAAACAUUAAAGACUUAAUUAUAAAAAUUUCUUUAAAAACAGACAACAAUGCAAUGCAUUCUUUUCAGAAGUAUACAAUAUUCAGUGCACAGUUCAUUGAAUUGCUUGAAUCUGGUAACACACAUAUAUUGAAGCCCUUUUCAUACUUCAAAUGAUUCACCCUCCCAGUUCAGUUUUAUAAAUCCCUCUUCACCUCUAAAUACCUUACUACAUAUCUGUAGUAUAUUCAGAUUAUUUUGUGUGUACCAGUGUAUUGUGCAUCCAAUUGAUCUUGUAAUUACAUGUACAUGUACUUGUACUUCAUUUGGGGAUCAUGUUUAAUUUGCUACAGUAUUUAACAUCUAUUUCAACUACUUCUGAUAUAUGAGUCUGGCCAAAAAAUAUUCUGGCAGAAAGGGUCAAUGGAAAAGGGAAAAAAAGGCAUGGUAAUUUUAAUGAUACUAAAUUACCUUGAAGAGGAAUGCGAUUUCGAAGAAAUUCCAGCAGUCUGGGAAUGUUUCCUUGAUACCUCAGACAAAUGAAUUUGUAGAAUUUGUCCUUGUUGUGAAAUAAAUAGAUGAACUUCUGUUCUUUUGCAGAUUUAUAAAUAUCAACAAUGUGUCACAUUCAUCUCAGUUGGGAGGGUUUUAUUAUUUUGUUUCAAGGAAAGUGAUGAAUACUCUUGAUAAUGUAAUUAUAUUAUGAUUUGGGAAGUAUUUUGAGAGGUCCACUAUGUGAGAUAGUUUUUAUUCAAAAAAGCUUCAACUGGACAUGGAGUUUUCACAUUUGCAAUCAUUAUUUGUGUAUUAAUUGCAACAAGCAUAAAAAAGAAGAAUGACCUUUCAUUUUGUGAGGAUGCAUUUCCUAAUUUAAGAACUGUUUAUUUCAAUAGAUUAUCAAACAUAUUUUUGUUUCAUAAAAUAUUUAAAAGAUAAAUGUUCUUUACACGGUUGAUUUAUUGAGAUAUGUCUUUCAGUCAAUGAUGGAUUUGAAGUGGAGGGGGGGGACAGGAUGUUUGAUUAGGUUUUAUUUAAAAUUCUUAUAUGCAAGAGUAUUUUCUAAUCAUGUAUUACAAUAAGGAUUAAGAAUGCAAUUUUAUAGUGCUUGCUUCAAAGGAUUUUCACUAGUAGGAAAAUUGUAUUCUGCACUUUUGUUAUAAGUACCCCCUUAUAUAUAUUAUGGGGGGAUGUCAGAUAUAUUGUGAGAAAUAUUCACCCAGAAUGGGAAAACGAAAUCAGAGUAGAUGCACUUGGUUGUUUGGGUGGUGUAACUUGAGGCAGUGCUGGAUUUGAAGUUGCCGUAUUCCAUGGUUGAGGGAAAUAAAGAUGAUAGUUUAAUUCUGGGAAUGCUUUAUAUUUAUAUAGA